GAUGAGUGAAUUUUUAGUUCACG
rnacentral:miRNA from 1 species